CAAGUCUUCCAGACAUUCAAGAGGAGACCCAAAGUUCAAGAAGCCCUUCUCUACUUCAUCUCAAACGUGUUUGAGGGCUCUUAACUUUUCUCUUAUAUAUAUCGCUGUAUAUCUGCUUUUUAGAAGCUCUAUUUUUCUGUUUGUCUUUGUUCUUUCCAUUUGGUUCUUACUUGAUUCAAUCAGGGGAUUGAAUCAAGGGUAUAUAGGUUUGUUGGUGAGCCUAGGUUGAAACCAACGGUGUAAGGGUUCGAUUGUGAUCCCGAAAAAACAAUCGGGCGGUUCUAGUCGGUGAGCCUGGAAAAACCGACCGAGUUCGUUGUGACCUCGUAAAACAACAAGUUGGGUUGUGAGCUUGUAAAACAACCGGCUGUAAUCCGAGGGGUCAUAGUGAAUUCCCAAGUGAGGCUUGGGGAGUGGACGUAGGAGUAAGGGUUAGCUCCGAACCACUAUAAAAUCAUUGUGUUUGUGAUUGCAUUUGUCUCUCUCACUUUCAUUUCGUUCACUGCACAUAGCAUCUAAUUAAUCAACUUGCAAAAAGGAUUAAUUAGUAUCUCACAAACCAUUUAAUUGUAAAAAUUAUUUUAAAACC
rnacentral:lncRNA from 1 species